rnacentral:rRNA from 2 species
UACGUACAAGCAGUGGGAGCCCCACCACUAAGCCAGUGGUGAACUCCACAUCCGCAUCCUUUGCUGAGGAUACGGUUAACGGAGCGAAAGCGACGUUCAACCGCAAAACAAGCAGAGGGGGCUUAGUGGUGGGGUGACUGCGUACCUUUUGUAUAAUGGGUCAGCGACUUAUAUUCUGUAGCAAGGUUAACCGAAUAGGGGAGCCGGAGGGAAACCGAGUCUUAAUUGGGCGUUAAGUUGCAGGGUA